rnacentral:rRNA from 1 species
CUGGCUCAGGAUGAACGCUGGCGGCGUGCCUAACACAUGCAAGUCGAGCGAUUUACUUCGGUAAAGAGCGGCGGACGGGUGAGUAACGCGUGGGUAACCUGCCUCAUACACAUGGAUAACAUACCGAAAGGUAUGCUAAUACAGGAUAAUAUAAGAG